UACGUAGGGUGCUAGCGUUAUCCGGAAUCACUGGGCGUAAAGGGCGCGUAGGCGGUGCGAGAAGCGUGUGGUGAAAGGCCGGGGCUCAACCCCGGCUCGGCCGUGCGGACUCUCGCGCUUGGUGAGUGCUGUAGAGGCGGGCGGAAUUCCUGGUGUAGCGGUGGAAUGCGCAGAUAUCAGGAGGAACACCGAUGGCGAAGGCAGAUCUCUGGGCCGUAACUGACGCUGAGGAGCGAAAGCAUGGGGAGCGAACAGG
rnacentral:rRNA from 1 species